rnacentral:rRNA from 1 species
GAUGAACGCUGGCGGCGUGCCUAAUACAUGCAAGUCGAGCGAACGGACGAGAAGCUUGCUUCUCUGAUGUUAGCGGCGGACGGGUGAGUAACACGUGGAUAACCUACCUAUAAGACUGGGAUAACUUCGGGAAACCGGAGCUAAUACCGGAUAAUAUUUUGAACCGCAUGGUUCAAAAGUGAAAGACGGUCUUGCUGUCACUUAUAGAUGGAUCCGCGCUGCAUUAGCUAGUUGGUAAGGUAACGGCUUACCAAGGCAACGAUGCAUAGCCGACCUGAGAGGGUGAUCGGCCACACUGGAACUGAGACACGGUCCAGACUCCUACGGGAGGCAGCAGUAGGGAAUCUUCCGCAAUGGGCGAAAGCCUGACGGAGCGACGCCGCGUGAGUGAUGAAGGUCUUCGGAUCGUAAAACUCUGUUAUUAGGGAAGAACAUAUGUGUAAGUAACUGUGCACAUCUUGACGGUACCUAAUCAGAAAGCCACGGCUAACUACGUGCCAGCAGCCGCGGUAAUACGUAGGUGGCAAGCGUUAUCCGGAAUUAUUGGGCGUAAAGCGCGCGUAGCGGUUUUUUAAGUCUGAUGUGAAAGCCCACGGCUCAACCGUGGAGGGUCAUUGGAAACUGGAAAACUUGAGUGCAGAAGAGGAAAGUGGAAUUCCAUGUGUAGCGGUGAAAUGCGCAGAGAUAUGGAGGAACACCAGUGGCGAAGGCGACUUUCUGGUCUGUAACUGACGCUGAUGUGCGAAAGCGUGGGGAUCAAACAGGAUUAGAUACCCUGGUAGUCCACGCCGUAAACGAUGAGUGCUAAGUGUUAGGGGGUUUCCGCCCCUUAGUGCUGCAGCUAACGCAUUAAGCACUCCGCCUGGGGAGUACGACCGCAAGGUUGAAACUCAAAGGAAUUGACGGGGACCCGCACAAGCGGUGGAGCAUGUGGUUUAAUUCGAAGCAACGCGAAGAACCUUACCAAAUCUUGACAUCCUUUGACAACUCUAGAGAUAGAGCCUUCCCCUUCGGGGGACAAAGUGACAGGUGGUGCAUGGUUGUCGUCAGCUCGUGUCGUGAGAUGUUGGGUUAAGUCCCGCAACGAGCGCAACCCUUAAGCUUAGUUGCCAUCAUUAAGUUGGGCACUCUAAGUUGACUGCCGGUGACAAACCGGAGGAAGGUGGGGAUGACGUCAAAUCAUCAUGCCCCUUAUGAUUUGGGCUACACACGUGCUACAAUGGACAAUACAAAGGGCAGCGAAACCGCGAGGUCAAGCAAAUCCCAUAAAGUUGUUCUCAGUUCGGAUUGUAGUCUGCAACUCGACUACAUGAAGCUGGAAUCGCUAGUAAUCGUAGAUCAGCAUGCUACGGUGAAUACGUUCCCGGGUCU